rnacentral:rRNA from 1 species
GACGAACGCUGGCGGCGUGCUUAACACAUGCAAGUCGAGCGGUAAGGCUCCUUCGGGAGUACACGAGCGGCGAACGGGUGAGUAACACGUGAGCAAUCUGCCCUUCACUCUGGGAUAACCCUCGGAAACGAGAGCUAAUACCGGAUACGAUCACUUCAGGCAUCUGAUGGUGAUGGAAAGUUCCGGCGGUGAAGGAUGAGCUCGCGGCCUAUCAGCUUGUUGGUGAGGUAAUGGCUCACCAAGGCUUCGACGGGUAGCCGGCCUGAGAGGGUGACCGGCCACACUGGGACUGAGACACGGCCCAGACUCCUACGGGAGGCAGCAGUGGGGAAUAUUGGACAAUGGGCGAAAGCCUGAUCCAGCAACGCCGCGUGAGGGAUGACGGCCUUCGGGUUGUAAACCUCUUUCAGCACAGACGAAGCGCAAGUGACGGUAUGUGCAGAAGAAGGACCGGCCAACUACGUGCCAGCAGCAGCCGCUGUAA